rnacentral:rRNA from 1 species
UCUUGGUCAUUUAGAGGAAGUAAAAGUCGUAACAAGGUUUCCGUAGGUGAACCUGCGGAAGGAUCAUUAUUGAAUAAACCUGAUGUGGCUGUUAGCUGGCUUUUCGAAGCAUGUGCUCGUCCGUCAUCUUUAUCUCUCCACCUGUGCACAUUUUGUAGUCUUGGAUAACUCUCGAGGCAACUCGGAUUUUAGAAUCGCCGUGCUGCACAAGUCGGCUUUCCUUUCAUUUCCAAGACUAUGUUUUUAUAUACACCAAAGUAUGUUCAAAGAAUGUCAUCAAUGGGAACUUGUUUCCUAUAAAAUUAUACAACUUUCAGCAAUGGAUCUCUUGGCUCUCGCAUCGAUGAAGAACGCAGCGAAAAGCGAUAUGUAAUGUGAAUUGCAGAUCUACAGUGAAUCAUCGAAUCUUUGAACGCACCCUGCGCUCCUCGGUGUUCCGAGGAGCAUGCCUGUUUGAGUGUCAGUAAAUUCUCAACCCCUCUCGAUUUGUUUCGAGGGGGAGCUUGGAUGGUGGGGGCUGCCGGAGACUAGGACUCGUCCUGGACUCGGGCUCUCCUUAAAUGCAUCGGCUUGCGGUCGACUUUCGACUUUGCGCGACAAGGCUUUCGGCGUGAUAAUGAUCGCCGUUUGCUGAAGCGCAUGAAUGAAGGUUCCGUGCCUCUAAUGCGUCGACUUACUAUCUCUUCGGAGAGAAAACGUCUUCCUUAUUGACUUUUGACCUCAAAUCAGGUAGGACUACCCGCUGAACUUAAGCAUAUCAAUAAGCGGAGGAAAUCUAGAUGC